rnacentral:lncRNA from 1 species
AGUGUAGGAAUACUGAGAUGAGGGUACAAGUGGUUGUUAGAGAAUAACUUAUAUUGAGUAUGACCAACAUGAGAAAUCAUAUGGAUGUCUACUCACUCGUCGGUAGUCUUCUUGAUGCUGCAGUGGUGUGAGUGGUCUUUUGACCUGUAGUGUCAUUGACUAUUCACAAUAAGGCUACUGAGUUUGACUGCACAUUCUCUUAAUCCCUAACCA